UGGGCAGCACGCUGAAGCCACCUGUGCACCAGGGAGGAGACAGUCUUUUCCAGGUAGACAAGGACUAUUAUGGCUGAGCUUUACAACUAAGCAUUAAGCAUUGUGGCUAAACAGUUUGACUGAACAAGAAUUAUUUGCCAUCACCUGAACAAGAGCCCUGAGAGACUGUUUUCAGCAGCCUGUCUGCAAUGAAUCCAAGAAUUUCUUACUCUGCUGGUAGAAGCUGACUUAGAGGCAUUCAAUAUAUCUGUACAGCCAGACUGUUUUCUUCCUACUGGAAUUCCCUUGCAUUUGCCACCACUGAAUUUUGUCUACCAGGGAGAGCCUAGGCACUCACUGCCAGGAGAUUUUCUGCAACCCUUUGCAGCCAGCUUUAUGUUGCCUCUCUGAAAUAACUGUGGGAUUCAA